AAAUCCAGAAUCGACCAGUACUAAACAAACCUUCAAACACAUAAGAUUAAGCAGCUUUUCAACAAGAGGCACAAUCCGUUUUGAAAAAGGAGCAUUUUUCAGCUGUACUGAGCAGAGACUUUUCGUGCCGAGCCAAUCAACCGAACUUCUUCAAGUUUUACUGUUUCAACGUACCUCCAAAACUGAUGUUCUUCCACGUGAGCUUCGCUUUGGUUUUACUCUCCAUCAGUGCUUUAACACCGAGGGGUUUGGAACAGAAGAGGAACAAAAUGUGUGUGUUGGACAUGGAUGAAAAAGGAAAUCUUUACCUUUACAAGUUUGCACUACUCUGCAAGAACGAGAUUAUCAAGCGACUGAUCAAUGGAUCUUAUCACCUUGCAGAACCGAGUGACGGACCGAGUACAACAGGUAAUUCAUUGAUAAAACUCUUUUCAUGGCAUGAAUGUGAUCUUCAAUGCAAGCAGCUUACUCUUGAAAUGAUUGUUUCAUAUUUUUUGCUAAUGUAUUAUUAAGUUAUGAUGAAAUAAUUCAUAGAUUUUUCAUUGAAUAUUUUCUGUGGGUCACCUGCAGGAAGGCUUAGUCAUUUAUCUCUGAGUCCUUUUCCGACUGAGAUCCAGUUUGCGACAAAAAUCUUGUAAAAUUAAGAAGUGAAUUUAAGGCUUUAGUUCUUGAUUUUCUUUCUCAUCGGCCUCAGCAGCCCAUGCAUGUUGACACUUUUGACGCUCGUCAGCAUUUGAGGAGAGUUACCAAUCAUUUUUCCAGGAUCUCUCUUUUUCCUACCUCCCGGAAGAGGAGGGAUCCUGGGAACAAGGUUCGAAUAUUGCCGGGUGAUUAUAACUCAGUCUUUCUUGGCAAACGCUUCCCGUCGUCUUGAAAAAGCCUGAAACACUAGAUAUUGACUUGAUAAAAAUAAUUGUUUGUCAUGGAUAAACUCAGCUAACCUUGCUGGCUGGAUAAGUUCCAGUGCAAUACAAUACUUACAGACUUAUUUCGCAAAUGGCACCAGGAAAGCACGUGAUGUGAAUCAUGAGACAAAACGCCAUGUCUGCCCUUUAACGCCCAGGAUCGUUAUUUACCGCCGUCUGAUUGGGUAAACCUCCGAACUAAUAAAUGCCGGUGUCUCGUGGCGGUUCUAUGCUGCCAGCCAUUCAGGAAUAUUGUUGAUGAUGACUUCAGUUUUAGUCCGCUUCAUCAAGCGAACUGCGUUGGGACGUCCCAAACACUUCCAGAAGUUCAGUAUAGCUUAUAGAGUCGGCCACCCUGAGUAUUUGUAACUAAAAAUGCAAAAAUUUUUCCUAUUUUUAAAGCUGAAGAUAACAAUAAUGCAAACAAUUAUAGGCGUAUUUCUUUGCUGUCUAACUUUAAUAGGAUCUUCGAAAAAUUGGCCUACUCCAGAUUGGAAUCUUUCAUUGAGCAAAAUAAUAUACUUUCUCCAUCUCAGUACGGUUUCCGCAAAGCGCUUUCAACUUAGUAUGCAAUUCUUGACACUGUUAGUACAAUAAAGGAAAACAUGGACAAGCGCUUGUUCUCUUGUGGUGUAUUUAUUGACAUGAAAAAUUCUUUUGAUACAGUCGAUCAUAAAAUUCUUUUGCACAAGUUAGAUCACUAUGGUUUUCGUGGUGUUAUAAAUAAGUGGUUCUCAUCUUACUUGGAUGGUCGAACUCAAACUACGCAAAUUGGCUCUCUGAUAUAUCUGAACGGAAAAAUUCAAUACCACUUGUGGUGUACCGAAAGGCUCAGUCCUAGGCCUAUUACUUCUCCUAAUCUAUGUCAACGAUAUCCAAGAAUCCUCUGACAAGCUCGAACUUUUUUUAUUUGCUGACGACACGAAUGCCGUAUAUGCCGACAAAAAUCUUAAGUCCCUUGAGUCGACUGUAGAUCAAUAACUCUGCAAGUUGUUCGAUUGGCUAACAGCUAAUAAAUUAACCAUAAAUAUGAAAAAAAAAUUGUUAUCUUUAGACCAGCUCAGAGAAAACUUACUUAUCAUCCCAAA